rnacentral:rRNA from 1 species
CCUACGGGUGGCUGCAGUGAGGAAUAUUGGUCAAUGGGCGAGAGCCUGAACCAGCCAAGUCGCGUGAAGGAUGACGGCCCUACGGGUUGUAAACUUCUUUUGUCAGGGAGCAAAUGAGUCCACGUGUGGGCUUAGCGAGAGUACCUGAAGAAAAAGCAUCGGCUAACUCCGUGCCAGCCGCCGCGGUAAUACGGAGGAUGCGAGCGUUAUCCGGAUUUUUUGGGUUUAAGGGGUGCGUAGGCGGAAUAUCAAGUCAGCGGUAAAACUUCGGGGCUCAACCCCGUCGUGCCGUUGAAACUGAUGUUCUUGAGUGGGCGAGAAGGAUGCGGAAGGCGUGGUGUAGCGGUGAAAUGCAUAGAUAUCACGCAGAACUCCGAUUGCGAAGGCAGCAUACCGGCGCCCAACUGACGCUGAAGCACGAAAGCGUGGGUAUCGAACAGGAUUAGAUACCCUAGUAGUC